rnacentral:rRNA from 1 species
GCCUGCUCACUGAUAAUUUUAAGAGCCGCGGUAUUUUGACCGUGCAAAGGUAGCAUAAUCAUUAGUCUCUUAAUUAGGGGCUGGAAUGAAUGGCUUGACGAGAAAUCAACUGUCUCUUAAUAAAAUAUAAAAUUUAACUUUUAAGUUAAAAGGCUUAAAUUUUUCUUUAGGACGAGAAGACCCUAUAGAUCUUGACAUUUUAUUUAUAUAUAUUUUUUGGUUAAUCUUUAUAUAUUUAAUUCUAAUGUUUUGUUGGGGUGACAUGAAGAAUUAGUAAACUCUUCAUUAUUAAAUCAUUAAUUUAUGUUGAUUUUGAUCCAUAAUUUAUGAUCAUAAGAUUAAGUUACCUUAGGGAUAACAGCGUAAUUGUUUUCGAGAGCUCAUAUCGACAAAGCAGAUUGCGACCUCGAUGUUGGAUUAAGAAAAGUUUUAGGUGAA